ensembl:lncRNA
GUGAAAACAAAAAGUCAACGACUGCAAAAUUCGCCUCAACAACAACAACAACGAGAACAAUAACAACGAGAACAACAAAAUCUUCUCUAGAAUCAAAAAAAUCCUCACAAGGUGAAGAUGUCACAGAGACUAAAUCAACACCAAAUAUCUGAAUGUCAGACUGCCACUUGGGUGGAGACAUUCAGUGACAGUUGUGAUUUUAAAACUUAAAGUCUGAAUGUCAGGUGGACUCUGGGCUUUGGGUGGACAUUUAGUUAGAGCUCCUUCACACAGGCCUACAGACAGUGAGCGCUGACAGGAAGUGGUCACUACGGGAAAAUGUAUGUUCACAGCUUCAAGGUGUACCUUUCUCUUUUCAGGUUUGUUAUUAUGGCUCAUUAUCCUUCCCGUUGGUUUAUCAGCACUCUUAAUAAUUGUUGUGGUCAUAAGAUGGAAGAAACAUAAAGGUAAAAGCAUCCUCAGAUUAUAGUUUAACAUAAUAUAACUAAUGUUAAGAAUGUGAAAAUGGUGAAUUGAAGAGAUUUCUUAUUUUGUAGAUUGGGAUCGUUAGCAAACAGGCAAAAAAUGGAUUUUUAAUGUGGAACUAAUCGCAGUGGGGUUUUUUUUUUUUUUUUUCUUUUUCAGGAAAAGAAGGGCAGCUGGCCGGCAACACUGUGAGUUCAAAUAGUUCCAUUGUUUCAUAUGAGAUUGAGCUAAUAAACCUUUAGAGGUGACUUCAUGCCUCUAAAUGACUAAAUAAAAUACAGGAUUUACCAUCAGAAACAGAACAGCUGACAAAGCUGCAAGUGAGCUGAAUCAGCUCCUCACUGACAAUGUUUAACUAUUUAAGUAACAUUUAGAUCUUUACACAGUUACUCUUCUGUUUGUGAGCAGGGACUGAGCUUAAACGCUGCAGAGACUCAGUCUGGACCAGGAACCAAUCAAACCAGGGUGAGGUUGCACACUAAUCUCAGUAUAAAUUUGCACUAAAUAUUUGUUUCAUUUUAACAGAAAAGUCAUGGUUAUGAUGAUGAGGAGGAACCAGAACUGAACUGUAUUAAACUAAACUGACAUUACUGAGCAGAUGUUAUUUUGUCUUCACUGUGUAGGCUGGAGCUGAUGAUGGUGUUUCCUACGUCUCCAUCAGCUUGCCCAAGAGGACCAGGAGUAAAACCCGGGUGAGAUUUUUAAUAUUUGUGGGGAUGAUGUUAGCAGUAAGACCAUGAUUUUCAAAGAGCCUUAUGUCUUGUCUUGCUCUGUAAUGUUUUUUUUUUUUUUGUUCUGUAAUGUUUUCCUAUAGUCCCGUGGUCAUGAUGAAGGUGACACUGUGACCUACAGCACAGUGAAAGCUGUUUCCUCUUCUGCUGGAGAUGAUCCCAACCACCUCUAUUCCACCAUCAAUGAUGUAAAGAAGUAGGAUGAUGCUCAUGAAAAGAGAUAUGGUAGAUGCUGUUUCACUUUUUAGAUGAGAGAGUGAAUGUGAAAAGUCAUGGGUUAUUUUUUUUUGUCUUACGUAUUGGUUGUUUUGAACUAAUAACAUAAUAUUGUUUUGGUAAAUGGACUUAUAUAACACUUUUAUAUAGCUACUCUUUCAGAGCACUCAAAGUGCUUUAUACAACAAAUUCAUUCACCCAAGCAGUUAAGUGCUCCCUAUCUAACAUUAAUACUCAUUCACACUCCGAUGGAAGCAUCGGAGAGCAACAUGGGGUUAGUAUCUUGCCCAAGAAUAUUUGGCAUGCAGACUGGAGCAGACUGGGAUCAAACCACCACCCUUCUGGUUAGUAGCUGACCUGCUCUAACACCUGAGCUACAGACACCAAACUGAAAAUCAUUUAUGUUUCAAAAACAGACAUGUUACCACACAUAUAUAUUUCUGUUUUGACCUAAACUGUUUCUGCCAGAGGGGUAUGUGUUGACGUUUUAUUCCAAGAAACCUUUUCUGUUUGCUGCUGCUCAUAAAAGUUUAGCUGAUAGCGUCCUAUCACAGUACAUGACAUCAUUACUGUCUAAGGCGCAGCUUCAAAUGCAUCCUGAACAGUGCGGACAAAAAUUAGAAAUAAGAAAAAGUACUAAUAAAUUUUUUUUUGCCACUGUAAAUAAAUGCUUUAAAUAAAGGAUCCAGAUACUUUCUUCAUUUUAAGAAGAAACCACUUUAGAGCCUGUGUCAUUUUGUUAUAAUUGCACAUAUUGAAGUGUUCACUGAAAAAAGAUAAUGUUGGAUUUAUUUAAUUUAAUAGUGGACAUUGGAUAAACACAGAUGCUUUGCUUUGGCAGCAACUUAAACAAUCAACUUAAAAUGAGGUGUUAAAUAUGACAAAGAUGCUUACAUAAAUCCAACACAUGGCCAGUCUCC